CUAGCAUGGCAUUAUAGCAGAGAUAUUUACACCAGGAUUUACACAUUAGAAUUUAUCCCACCUCAUUGUCACUAUGUGUAAUUUAUAACCUCAUUCUUACUGAAAAAAACGAGAAUGUAGAAUGUCGGUGCAGACUGAUGAUUUCAUCAUACUCUGACUCAUCAUUCCUAAAAUGUGCUAGGUCUCUGGAGUGAGGAUAUUUAUCUAAACAAAUUAAUCUAAUACUGUAUAAGUUGAUCAUUCUAGCUUUGGGAUGAUUAACUUCCUUAAAAACGUGAGCAGAAUGAUUGUGAUUUUGUAUAAUAAUUUUUAUCAUGAAACUGUUCUCACAUUUUACUUUAUAUUAGCAACAAUCCAUCACCUCUUCCGCGCCUCCCAACCUGCUGGAUUUAUAGCAAUGGGUUUAUUAUUCUUGAAGCAUUGUAAAAUGACUCUUUCGUUCUUAGUUAAAUUAGGAGGGAAAAAUCUUUCAUUUUCUAAAGGUCAAGAUGUUCUUUACAAAGAAUAUAACAGUUUAUAUCAAUUCCACAGCAUUUUAUAUAGACACAAAUAGUCGUCAUCUUUUUUUACAAGUAUACCUUCUUUAGUGCAAUAGUUUAAGUUAGAGUUGCCAGAAACUGAUUGUACUGAGUGAACUGUUUUUGUGUGUGUGUAGGAUAAAAGGUGCUUUAAUGAAAUCAAUCUUUGGAGAUAUAAAUUCACUUUUACUGAGAAGGUAUACUUUAUCCUCAUUGCCGGGCCAUGUUUUCUCUGCACAGUAUCUCACAUAUAAAACUUUGGUAAAUGACUGCUUUUGUGAAAAUGUAGGGCUGUCAAUCUUGUGAUAAAGAUAGAAUUAAGGUUUAGCAAGGAUAGUGUUGAUAAAUAGGAUAUAGAGAGGAAGAGGAAGAAAAGACAUGUAUGGAUCCAGAGUUGUUAUUCUGAGGAAACAGUAACAGAACUCAUCCCCAUCAAGGGGCUAUCAAAUUCCCCUGAACAAAGAGCUGGCAUAAUCCAAAUAGGCCAACUGAGAGCUCAUUAGCAUCUGCAGAAGAUAAACAUUUAAGAAUCACGGUGGUGUCAGGAAUAAGGGAGGAAUGC
rnacentral:lncRNA from 1 species